rnacentral:rRNA from 1 species
UGUAUAAUGGGUCAGCGACUUAUAUUCAGUGGCAAGGUUAACCAUUUAGGGGAGCCGUAGGGAAACCGAGUCUUAACUGGGCGUUCAGUCUCUGGAUAUAGACCCGAAACCGGGUGAUCUAGCCAUGGGCAGGUUGAAGGUUGAGUAACAUCAACUGGAGGACCGAACCGACUAAUGUUGAAAAAUUAGCGGAUGACUUGUGGCUAGGGGUGAAAGGCCAAUCAAACUCGGAGAUAGCUGGUUCUCCCCGAAAGCUAUUUAGGUAGCGCCUCGGACGAAUACUACUGGGGGUAGAGCACUGUUAAGGCUAGGGGGUCAUCCCGACUUACCAACCCUUUGCAAACUCCGAAUACCAGUAAGUACUAUCCGGGAGACACACGGCGGGUGCUAACGUCCGUCGUGGAGAGGGAAACAACCCAGACCGCCAGCUAAGGUCCCAAAUUACAGCUAAGUGGGAAACGAUGUGGGAAGGCUCAGACAGCUAGGAUGUUGGCUUAGAAGCAGCCAUCAUUUAAAGAAAGCGUAAUAGCUCACUAGUCGAGUCGGCCUGCGCGGAAGAUGUAACGGGGCUAAGCUGUAAACCGAAGCUGCGGCAAUGCGAUUUAUCGUAUUGGGUAGGGGAGCGUUCUGUAAGCCGUUGAAGGUGUGUUGUAAAGCAUGCUGGAGGUAUCAGAAGUGCGAAUGCUGACAUGAGUAACGACAAGGGGGGUGAAAAACCUCCCCGCCGGAAGACCAAGGGUUCCUGUCCAACGUUAAUCGGGGCAGGGUAAGUCGACCCCUAAGGCGAGGCCGAAAGGCGUAGUCGAUGGGAAACGGGUUAAUAUUCCCGUACUUCUUACAAUUGCGAUGGGGGGACGGAGAAGGCUAGGUGGGCCUGGCGACGGUUGUCCAGGUUCAAGUGCGUAGGCUUGAGGGUUAGGUAAAUCCGGCUCUCUCUAAGGCUGAGACACGACGUCGAGCUACUACGGUAGUGAAGUCAUUGAUGCCAUGCUUCCAGGAAAAGCCUCUAAGCUUCAGAUUGUAAGGAAUCGUACCCCAAACCGACACAGGUGGUCGGGUAGAGAAUACCAAGGCGCUUGAGAGAACUCGGGUGAAGGAACUAGGCAAAAUGGUACCGUAACUUCGGGAGAAGGUACGCUCUUGAUGGUGAAGUCCCUCGCGGAUGGAGCUGAUGAGAGUCGCAGAUACCAGGUGGCUGCAACUGUUUAUUAAAAACACAGCACUGUGCAAAAUCGUAAGAUGACGUAUACGGUGUGACGCCUGCCCGGUGCCGGAAGGUUAAUUGAUGGGGUUAGCGUAAGCGAAGCUCUUGAUCGAAGCCCCGGUAAACGGCGGCCGUAACUAUAACGGUCCUAAGGUAGCGAAAUUCCUUGUCGGGUAAGUUCCGACCUGCACGAAUGGCGUAAUGAUGGCCACGCUGUCUCCACCCGAGACUCAGUGAAAUUGAAAUCGCUGUGAAGAUGCAGUGUACCCGCGGCUAGACGGAAAGACCCCGUGAACCUUUACUACAGCUUGGCACUGAACAUUGAACCUACAUGUGUAGGAUAGGUGGGAGGCUUUGAAGACGUGACGCUAGUUGCGUUGGAGCCGUCCUUGAAAUACCACCCUUGUAUGUUUGAUGUUCUAACUUAGCCCCGUUAUCCGGGGUGAGGACAGUGCCUGGUGGGUAGUUUGACUGGGGCGGUCUCCUCCCAAAGAGUAACGGAGGAGCACGAAGGUGGGCUAAUCACGGUUGGACAUCGUGAGGUUAGUGCAAUGGCAUAAGCCCGCUUAACUGCGAGAAUGACGGUUCGAGCAGGUGCGAAAGCAGGUCAUAGUGAUCCGGUGGUUCUGUAUGGAAGGGCCAUCGCUCAACGGAUAAAAGGUACUCCGGGGAUAACAGGCUGAUACCGCCCAAGAGUUCAUAUCGACGGCGGUGUUUGGCACCUCGAUGUCGGCUCAUCACAUCCUGGGGCUGAAGUCGGUCCCAAGGGUAUGGCUGUUCGCCAUUUAAAGUGGUACGCGAGCUGGGUUUAGAACGUCGUGAGACAGUUCGGUCCCUAUCUGCCGUGGGCGUUGGAAGAUUGAAGGGGGCUGCUCCUAGUACGAGAGGACCGGAGUGGACGAACCUCUGGUGUUCGGGUUGUGUCGCCAGACGCAUUGCCCGGUAGCUAAGUUCGGAAUCGAUAACCGCUGAAAGCAUCUAAGCGGGAAGCGAGC